GCCUCUGCAGCUCAGUUGACAGAGCAUGAGACUCUAAAUCUCAGGGUCAUGAGUUCGAACAACCAUGUCGGGGGUA